GACGAACGCUGGCGGCGUGCCUAAUACAUGCAAGUCGAGCGAAGUUUUUCUGGUGCUUGCACUAGAAAAACUUAGCGGCGAGCGGGUGAGUAACACGUAAAGAACCUGCCUCAUAGACUGGGACAACUAUUGGAAACGAUAGCUAAUACCGGAUAACAGUAUUUCUCGCAUGAGAGAUAUUUAAAAGUUGGUUAUGCUAACACUAUGAGAUGGCUUUGCGGUGCAUUAGCUAGUUGGUGGGGUAAAGGCCCACCAAGGCGACGAUGCAUAGCCGACCUGAGAGGGUGAUCGGCCACACCGGGACUGAGACACGGCCCAGACUCCUACGGGAGGCAGCAGUAGGGAAUCUUCCGCAAUGGGCGAAAGCCUGACGGAGCAACGCCGCGUGAGUGAAGAAGGAUUUCGGUUCGUAAGGCUCUGUUGUUAGGGAAGAAUGGAUAUGUAGUAACUAUACAUGUAAGAGACGGUACCUAACCAGAAAGCCACGGCUAACUACGUG
rnacentral:rRNA from 1 species